AGCGAACGCUGGCGGCGUGCUUAACACAUGCAAGUCGAGGGAGAACGGAGGGCUUCGGCCUUCUUAGUAAACCGGCGCACGGGUGAGUAACACGUAGGUAACCUACCUCCGAGUUCGGGAUAACCUGUCGAAAGAUAGGCUAAUACCGGAUAAGACCACGAUGGCUUCGGCCACUGCGGUCAAAGAUGGCCUCUAUUUAUACGCUAUCGCUUGGGGAUGGGCCUGCGCACCAUUAGCUAGUUGGUGAGGUAACGGCUCACCAAGGCUACGAUGGUUAGUUGGUCUGAGAGGAUGACCAGCCACACUGGGACUGAGACACGGCCCAGACUCCUACGGGAGGCAGCAGUGGGGAAUAUUGCGCAAUGGGGGAAACCCUGACGCAGCGACGCCGCGUGGGUGAUGAAGGCCUUCGGGUCGUAAAGCCCUGUCGGAGGGGAAGAAGGACUCUCGUGCAAAUAGUUCGAGGGUUUGACGGUACCCUUAGAGGAAGCACCGGCUAACUCCGUG
rnacentral:rRNA from 1 species